rnacentral:rRNA from 1 species
GAACGGCAGCGCGGGAGCAAUCCUGGCGGCGAGUGGCGAACGGGUGAGUAAUAUAUCGGAACGUGCCCAUUAGUGGGGGAUAGCCCGGCGAAAGCCGGAUUAAUACCGCAUACGACCUGAGGGUGAAAGCGGGGGAUCGCAAGACCUCGCGCUAUUGGAGCGGCCGAUAUCAGAUUAGCUAGUUGGUGGGGUAAAAGCCUACCAAGGCAACGAUCUGUAGUUGGUCUGAGAGGACGACCAGCCACACUGGGACUGAGACACGGCCCAGACUCCUACGGGAGGCAGCAGUGGGGAAUUUUGGACAAUGGGCGCAAGCCUGAUCCAGCAAUGCCGCGUGCAGGAAGAAGGCCUUCGGGUUGUAAACUGCUUUUGUCAGGGAAGAAAUCCUUUGGGUUAAUACCUCGAAGGGAUGACGGUGCCUGAAGAAUAAGCACCGGCUAACUACGUG